GAUGAAGAACGCAGCGAAAUGCGAUACGUAAUGUGAAUUGCAGAUUUCAGUGAAUCAUCGAAUCUUUGAACGCACAUUGCGCCCGCCAGUAUUCUGGCGGGCAUGCCUGUUCGAGCGUCAUUUCAACCAUCAAGCGCCUCGCUUGUGUUGGGGCCCUGCGGCUGCCGCAGGCCCCUAAAUCCAGUGGCGGGCUCGUCGUCGUACCGAGUGCAGUAAACAUCCUCGCUCAGGGAACCCGACGGGUGCCGGCCGUGAAACCCCCCCUCCUCAAGGUUGACCUCGGAUCAGGAAGGAAUACCCGCUGAACUUAAGCAUAUCAAUAAGCGGAGGA
rnacentral:misc_RNA from 1 species